rnacentral:rRNA from 1 species
CACGUAGGGCGCAAGCGUUGUCCGGAAUUAUUGGGCGUAAAGAGCUCGUGGGCGGUCUGUUGCGUCCGCUGUGAAAACUCGGGGCUUAACCCCGAGCCUGCAGUGGAUACGGGCAGACUAGAGGUAGGUAGGGGAGAAUGGAAUUCCCGGUGUAGCGGUGAAAUGCGCAGAUAUCGGGAAGAAUAUCCGUGGCGAAGGCGGCUCUCUGGUACGGCACUGACGCUGAGACGCGAAAGCGUGGGGAGCGAACAGG